rnacentral:rRNA from 1 species
AGUGAACGCUGGCGGUAGGCCUAACACAUGCAAGUCGAACGGCAGCAUAGUAUGAGUUUGCUUUUCCGGUUGGCUAUUGGCGGACGGGUAAGGCAUACAUCGGAUUCUACUUUUUCUUGGGGUAUAACGUAGGUAAACUUACCCUAAUCCCUCAUAAGACCUACGGGUGAAAUCAGUGGUUCUUCGCUCCUUGCCCGAUUGAAUGAGCCGAUGUCGGAUUAGCUGGUUGGCGGGGUAAAGGCCCACCAAGGCGACGUCUCGUAGCUGGUCUGAGAGGAUGAUCAGCCACAAUGGAACUGAGACACGGUCCAGACUCCUACGGGAGGCAGAAGUGGGGAAUAUUGGACAAUGGGCGCAAGCCUGAUCCAGCCAUACCGCGUGGGUGAUGAAGGCCUUCGGGUUGUAAAGCCCUUUUGUUGGGAAAGAAAAGCAGCAGGUUAAUACCCCGCUGUUCUGACGGUACCCAAAGAAUAAGCACCGGCUAACUUCGUG